rnacentral:sRNA from 2 species
UGAGUUGGUGGCUAGGGUUCCGGUUCCCGCGAGGGAGCGCUGGUCCGAGAGCUGCCGCCGGCGCGGGAGACAUCCGCGCCGGGCACGGCGGGAUAAAAUCCCGGGAGAC